rnacentral:rRNA from 1 species
UACGUAGGGCGCAAGCGUUAUCCGGAAUUAUUGGGCGUAAAGAGCUCGUAGGCGGUCUGUCGCGUCUGCUGUGAAAACUCAGGGCUUAACCCUGAGCUUGCAGUGGGUACGGGCAGACUAGAGUGCGGUAGGGGAGACUGGAAUUCCUGGUGUAGCGGUGAAAUGCGCAGAUAUCAGGAAGAACACCCGUGGCGAAGGCGGCUUUCUGGGACGGU